rnacentral:rRNA from 1 species
ACAGCUCAAAUUUGAAAUCUGGCUCUUCUAGGGUCCGAGUUGUAAUUUGUAGAAGAUGCUUUGGGUGUGGCUCCGGUCUAAGUUCCUUGGAACAGGACGUCAUAGAGGGUGAGAAUCCCGUAUGUGACUGGCUGCCUCCGUUCAUGUGAAGCUCUUUCGACGAGUCGAGUUGUUUGGGAAUGCAGCUCAAAAUGGAUGGUAAAUUUCAUCUAAAGCUAAAUAUUGGCCAGAGACCGAUA